GUCCAUCCUCUCCCUGAUCAAAUCGAUCGAUUCGGGACCUUGUGAAUCUGAAUCGAAUCGAUUCUAGAAACAGUUAUAUCGUGAUGACUGGCAGGAGGCGAUCUCACCCUGUGUUUCUCUGCCUGUGGUAGAGGUGGAACCAGAUCAAGCGGAGCUGAUUCUUGAACAGCCUCAAGUCAGAGCUGGAUUGACCUUCUGUCACCAGGUACUGAUGAGCCCGCUGUGGAAAAACAUCACUGAUGAUGUUCAUGAAUCCCCAGCUGACUCUGGUAACCUUAAUACAGCACAGAAAAAAUGUCACAAUAAUCAUUUUAUGUUGUGAUUAUUGUGAUAAUAACAGAAACAGAUGCAUCUAUGUCAUUAUCUUUGAGCUUUUACACUUAACAUAAUUAUAAAAACAUGAGUAUAAAAGGUGUUAAAACUCUGAUGCCAUCUUGGAAUACUGCACUUUGUUCAUGUCAUUACAACAUUUCUCUCUUUCUAAUCAUACAUCUAGAUGUUAUGUCAACACACAUUUAAUCUACAUUAUAAGAGUGCCUUUGUGAUAAAUGUGUCUUUCAUUCUUAAAUUAACUGGUUAAAUAUUUAAUCUAACUAAACCCUAAAGAUGGAGUCAGAAGACAACAGUCACCUGAAGGGGCUGAAAAUUGUAAAGACCCUACAGAACAAUCAGUAAAUAGAACCUGUACGCCGUGUCCCGUACGCCAGAAAGCUGCUCUACCAGGAGCUGCAGUCCGUGAACGUCAUCCCUCGACUCGAGCUGUCGCGCUACAGCGAGUGAGCAGGACAAGGACAGAGAUGUGUUGGGUGGAGACGAGGUUGUGCUCAGUGUGCUGAGGUGAAGCAUCCAAACCACACGGCCUGUUCUUCAAUCCGGGAUCGUGUCCCAAAUCAGAGCUGCGGAAGGGUAAGCGUCACAGUGAGUGUGCUGCAGCUGAUGUUGACCUGAAGAAUCGUGUCUCGCAGGUACAGUCUGCAGUCUAUGAAGUGGGGCUCCUGCUGCUCAGGUGUUCUCACUGAAGUCCGUUUCACCUGAUGAGAGGAGGCAGCUCUGACUUGAGGCUGUUCAAGAAUGAGCGCCACUUAAUCUGGUUCCACCUCUACCACAGGCAGAGAAACACAGGCCUGGACUCUUUGUUGGCCAGACAAAAUCAGAAACGGAAAUCAUUGGUUUUCACAACUGGGUCCAGUUCUACCUGCAAAGGAUAUAAGGCCAGGGAGCAUGAUUUGUGGUGUGGCAGCCAUGGGUUGAGCCAGCCCUGCAAACCCUGUGGAUGAACGAUGCAGUGGACAGUGGGAGGAAGCAUCCUAAAGCUCUCUUUGCAGACCAGCCUGUGUGAUUCUCCACUCGCCGACCAGAAAAGACAAACGGCAGGUCUCAGUUGCAGCACCUCAUCCAUCCAUGUCUGAUCUUGCAUCGGCAGAUUCAGCAACACAGCCAGAGGCUUCCUGUAAUCUAUUACAGUUGUUAAAAAAACGGUCCAGGAACAGGUCACUCAGGUUAAUCCUGUAUAAACAACUGUAAAUAUUGUUUUUCCUUCUUUA